UAUUAAGUCCUGUAACUGAAA
ensembl:piRNA 21ur-4096 ncRNA